AACAUUCCAUGAGUAGCCGGCAGCAUUCCCACAUCCAGCUGCAGGAAUUUCUCUGGAUGAUUGUUGUUUGGCAGGACGGCUAUGUCCAUUCUGUGACCUGUGUACAGCUGAAAUGAGCCUUACUGAGUCCGAUCUCAGCUCUUUCAGAUCCAGGGUGUUCUCCAGGCUCAGUAUUCCUCUGUGGUCCAGCGAUCCUGUUAAGAGAAAACAUUCAAGUCAAGUUUCAACUAUCUCCAGUCAACCGAACUUUCAGAUCUCAUACAGACCUCCCAUCCUGCCAUCUGCUUCAGUCAUCACUCAUCUGUGUCAAUAAACUCAUUUAUUAUUUCAACUUA